rnacentral:misc_RNA from 2 species
CAGAGUUUUUAACUCCAAACCCAUGUGAACUUACCAAUUGUUGCCUCGGCGGCAGGUUGUUUUCGGACGACUGGCCGCCGGUGGACCACUAAACUCUUGUUAAUUAUUGUCAUUCUGAAUACAAAACUUAAUAAGUUA